ACAGGACUAUCCUUCAUCAGUAAACAUACUUUGAACCCAGUAUCUCCAGAGACCCUAACCCCUCAUCGAUUCUCACCAAAUCAAAUUCCCUCCCCAAAUCAUUUCCAUCACCCUAGUUAACGUCCUCCGCCUUGGACAUACAUCAGCCCCUCCACUCGAACAUCGCUAUUUAGGGUUAACAUCCACCAGAUCCAUUCAAUUGAAGCAGAGGUACAGAUCUUCAUAAUAACCACAGAUCGAUUCCCGUACAGCCGAUUUUUAGUAUUCAUCUCCAUCUCCGUUGAUUAAGGAUCGAUUCUCAGUUGAAGGAGAGGUAGUUGUUUGCCCUAUCACCACAACCGCUAUAAUAAUCCUCCUAAUUACCUCAUAUUUUGUUUAAUCUCGUGAUCUGCUCUGCGUUUUGUCGAUUUCUUCGUUCGGUCUGCUCUCUUGCAGUUGGUUCUUCGGUUUGGACAACCUCAAUUCGGAUUUUGGAGCCCUAGAUGUCCCCUGGUUUUGAUUACUGUUACGCUAGAAUGUUUUUGUUGAUAUGCCCUGUUAUGAUUAAGAUAUAGUUAGUAUUU
rnacentral:lncRNA from 1 species